rnacentral:rRNA from 1 species
GGACCUCUAAUCGGAAAAGAACACCCGCUGAGUUUAAGCAUAUCA